GACGAACGCUGGCGGCGUGCUUAACACAUGCAAGUCGAACGGAAAGGCCCUGCUUUUGUGGGGUGCUCGAGUGGCGAACGGGUGAGUAACACGUGAGUAACCUGCCCUUGACUUUGGGAUAACUUCAGGAAACUGGGGCUAAUACCGGAUAGGAGCUCCUGCUGCAUGGUGAGGGUUGGAAAGUUUCGGCGGUUGGGGAUGGACUCGCGGCUUAUCAGCUUGUUGGUGGGGUAGUGGCUUACCAAGGCUUUGACGGGUAGCCGGCCUGAGAGGGUGACCGGCCACAUUGGGACUGAGAUACGGCCCAGACUCCUACGGGAGGCAGCAGUGGGGAAUAUUGCACAAUGGGCGGGAGCCUGAUGCAGCAACGCCGCGUGCGGGAUGACGGCCUUCGGGUUGUAAACCGCUUUCGCCUGUGACGAAGCGUGAGUGACGGUAAUGGGUAAAGAAGCACCGGCUAACUACGUG
rnacentral:rRNA from 1 species